rnacentral:tRNA from 1 species
AGUAAAAUGGCUGAGGUUAAAGCGGUAAAUUGUAAAUUUAUUUAUGGGAGAGUUCUCUUUUACUA